UGACGGUACCUGACUAAGAAGCCCCGGCUAACUACGUGCCAGCAGCCGCGGUAAUACGUAGGGGGCAAGCGUUAUCCGGAUUUACUGGGUGUAAAGGGAGCGUAGACGGCUGUGCAAGUCUGAAGUGAAAUCCGCGGGCUCAACCCGUGAACUGCUCUGGAAACUGCAUAGCUAGAGUGCAGGAGGGGUAAGUGGAAUUCCUAGUGUAGCGGUGAAAUGCGUAGAUAUUAGGAGGAACACCAGUGGCGAAGGCGGCUUACUGGACUGUAACUGACGUUGAGGCUCGAAAGCGUGGGGAGCAAACAGGAUUAGAUACCCUG
rnacentral:rRNA from 1 species